GAUGAACGCUGGCGGCGUGCUUAACACAUGCAAGUCGAGCGAUGAAGUUUCCUUCGGGAAACGGAUUAGCGGCGGACGGGUGAGUAACACGUGGGUAACCUGCCUCAUAGAGUGGAAUAGCCUUCCGAAAGGAAGAUUAAUACCGCAUAACGUUGAAAGACGGCAUCAUCAUUCAACCAAAGGAGCAAUCCGCUAUGAGAUGGACCCGCGGCGCAUUAGCUAGUUGGUGGGGUAAUGGCCUACCAAGGCGACGAUGCGUAGCCGACCUGAGAGGGUGAUCGGCCACAUUGGGACUGAGACACGGCCCAGACUCCUACGGUAGGCAGCAGUGGGGAAUAUUGCACAAUGGGGGGAACCCUGAUGCAGCAACGCCGCGUGAGUGAUGAAGGUUUUCGGAUCGUAAAGCUCUGUCUUUGGGGAAGAUAAUGACGGUAUCCAAGGAGGAAGCCACGGCUAACUACGUGCCAGCCGCCGCGGUAAAAC
rnacentral:rRNA from 1 species